UACGGAGGGCGCAAGCGUUGUUCGGAAUCACUGGGCGUAAAGCGCGUGUAGCCGGCUUUGCAAGACGGGUGUGAAAUCCCGAGGCUCAACCUCGGAACUGCACUCGAUACUGCUUGGCUCGAGUCCCGGAGAGGGUGGCGGAAUUCCCGGUGUAGGGGUGAAAUCCGUAGAUAUCGGGAGGAACAUCAGUGGCGAAGGCGGCCACUUGGACGGUGACUGACGCUGAGACGCGAAAGCGUGGGGAGAAAACAGG
rnacentral:rRNA from 1 species